rnacentral:rRNA from 1 species
AGAGUUUGAUCCUGGCUCAGGAUGAACGCUAGCUACAGGCUUAACACAUGCAAGUCGAGGGGCAUCAGUUUGGUUUGCUUGCAAACCAAAGCUGGCGACCGGCGCACGGGUGAGUAACACGUAUCCAACCUGCCUCAUACUCGGGGAUAGCCUUUCGAAAGAAAGAUUAAUAUCCGAUAGCAUAUAUUUCCCGCAUGGGUUUUAUAUUAAAGAAAUUCGGUAUGAGAUGGGGAUGCGUUCCAUUAGUUUGUUGGGGGGGUAACGGCCCACCAAGACUACGAUGGAUAGGGGUUCUGAGAGGAAGGUCCCCCACAUUGGAACUGAGACACGGUCCAAACUCCUACGGGAGGCAGCAGUGAGGAAUAUUGGUCAAUGGACGCGAGUCUGAACCAGCCAAGUAGCGUGAAGGAUGACUGCCCUGUGGGUUGUAAACUUCUUUUAUAUGGGAAUAAAGUUGUCCACGUGUGGACUUUUGUAUGUACCAUAUGAAUAAGGAUCGGCUAACUCCGUGCCAGCAGCCGCGGUAAUACGGAGGAUCCGAGCGUUAUCCGGAUUUAUUGGGUUUAAAGGGAGCGUAGGCGGAUUGUUAAGUCAGUUGUGAAAGUUUGCGGCUCAACCGUAAAAUUGCAGUUGAUACUGGCAGUCUUGAGUGCAGUAGAGGUGGGCGGAAUUCGUGGUGUAGCGGUGAAAUGCUUAGAUAUCACGAAGAACUCCGAUUGCGAAGGCAGCUCACUGGAGUGUAACUGACGCUGAUGCUCGAAAGUGUGGGUAUCAAACAGGAUUAGAUACCCUGGUAGUCCACACAGUAAACGAUGAAUACUCGCUGUUUGCGAUAUACAGUAAGCGGCCAAGCGAAAGCAUUAAGUAUUCCACCUGGGGAGUACGCCGGCAACGGUGAAACUCAAAUGACAUUGACGGAAGGGCGAAUCGCGGCCG